rnacentral:tRNA from 1 species
GCCCUGGUGGUCUAGUGGUAUGAUUCUCGCUUAGGGUGCGAGAGGUCCCGCGUUCGAUCCGCGGCUAGGGCC